rnacentral:misc_RNA from 1 species
AAAGUCGUAACAAGGUUUCCGUAGGUGAACCUGCGGAAGGAUCAUUACAAAUCCAAAAAAUAACUCGUUGAAAUGUUCUCGGCCUUGGGAUCUCGUUUCGACAAUGAUGCUUUGUAUGAUAUGUAUUAAUUUUUGAAAUUGGUACUAUCAUUCUUCGUCACUCGCAAGCGAUAUUAUAGAGAUAUACUCACUAUCAUGACAAUCAAUCAUGGAUUAGUUGUCUCGCAAACCAAGGUUCGAUUUAAUGACUUUACUUUUGGUCAUAUGUAUAUGAGUCGUUAAUUCGACAAACAUAAACAACUUUUAACAAUGGAUCUCUAGGCUCUU